rnacentral:rRNA from 1 species
GAUGAACGCUGGCGGCGUGCCUAAUACAUGCAAGUCGAGCGAACAGACGAGGAGCUUGCUCCUCUGACGUUAGCGGCGGACGGGUGAGUAACACGUGGAUAACCUACCUAUAAGACUGGGAUAACUUCGGGAAACCGGAGCUAAUACCGGAUAAUAUAUUGAACCGCAUGGUUCAAUAGUGAAAGACGGUUUUGCUGUCACUUAUAGAUGGAUCCGCGCCGCAUUAGCUAGUUGGUAAGGUAACGGCUUACCAAGGCAACGAUGCGUAGCCGACCUGAGAGGGUGAUCGGCCACACCGGAACUGAGACACGGUCCAGACUCCUACGGGAGGCAGCAGUAGGGAAUCUUCCGCAAUGGGCGAAAGUCUGACGGAGCAACGCCGCGUGAGUGAUGAAGGUCUUCGGAUCGUAAAACUCUGUUAUUAGGGAAGAACAAAUGUGUAAGUAACUAUGCACGUCUUGACGGUACCUAAUCAGAAAGCCACGGCUAACUACGUG